rnacentral:rRNA from 1 species
GACGAAGGGGGCUAGCGUUGUUCGGAAUUACUGGGCGUAAAGCGAGUGUAGGCGGUUGCCCAAGUCAGGUGUGAAAGCCUUGAGCUCAACUCAAGAAAUGCACUUGGUACUGGGUGGCUAGAGGACCGGAGAGGAUAGUGGAAUUCCCAGUGUAGUGGUGAAAUGCGUAGAGAUGCGGAGGAACACCGAUGGCGAAGGCAACCCCCUGGGCUAACACUGACGCUCAGGCACGAAAGCGUGGGGAGCAAACAGG